UCGGCAAUAUCACGUUGAAACACCAGUUAUCGUACGAUCACCGAAGUUAAGCAAUGUCGAGCCUGCUCAAUAUCUGGAUGGGUAACCGCUUGGGAUUGCCAGCUGCUGUAA